AUUGAACGCUGGCGGCAUGCUUUACACAUGCAAGUCGAACGGCAGCGCGGGCUUCGGCCUGGCGGCGAGUGGCGAACGGGUGAGUAAUGCAUCGGAACGUGCCCAGUAGUGGGGGAUAGCCCGGCGAAAGCCGGAUUAAUACCGCAUACGACCUGAGGGUGAAAGCGGGGGACCGAAAGGCCUCGCGCUAUUGGAGCGGCCGAUGUCGGAUUAGCUAGUUGGUGGGGUAAAGGCUUACCAAGGCGACGAUCCGUAGCUGGUCUGAGAGGACGACCAGCCACACUGGGGCUGAGACACGGCCCAGACUCCUACGGGAGGCAGCAGUGGGGAAUUUUGGACAAUGGGGGCAACCCAGAUCCAGCCAUGCCGCGUGCGGGAAGAAGGCCUUCGGGUUGUAAACCGCUUUUGUUCGGGAAGAAAUCCUCUGGGCUAAUACCCCGGGGGGAUGACGGUACCGGAAGAAUAAGCACCGGCUAACUACGUG
rnacentral:rRNA from 1 species